CCGGGAGUAGCGCAGCCUGGUAGCGCAUCUGCUUUGGGAGCAGAGGGUCGCAGGUUCGAAUCCUGUCUCCCGGACCA
rnacentral:tRNA from 1 species